UACAGAGACUGCGAGCGUUUAUUCGGAUUCACUGGGCGUAAAGGGUGCGCAGGUGGCUAGGUGUGUUAGGCGUGAAAGCCCGGGGCUUAACCCCGGAAUUGCACCUAAAACUACUUGGCUAGAGCAUUGGAGAGGGGAGCAGAAUUCAUGGUGUAGCAGUGAAAUGCGUAGAUAUCAUGAGGAAUACCAGAGGCGAAGGCGGCUCCCUGGACAAUUGCUGACACUCAGGCACGAAAGCGUGGGGAGCAAAAGGG
rnacentral:rRNA from 1 species